GGCGACGUACCCAAGUGGUUAAGGGAGUUGUCUGCAAAACAACUAUACACCGGUUCGAGUCCGGUCGUCGCCU
rnacentral:tRNA from 1 species